GUCGAAACAGUUUAACGUUGUUUCCAAAUUCUUCAUUAUAACGAUGGUUCCAACUUCGAAGUAAGAAACCAAAGCUCGUGAUUUCGCAAUCAAAUGCAGAACUUCUGGUUACCGUUUGGAGAGCCGGUAGUUUUGCUUAUUACAAGAAGUUGCCUAUGAUUCCAUUAAACUAAACAUAUAAAACCGAAUAACAAGUGGUAAGUUUGAACGGCGCACAAAAAAAAUCAAACAUGGCCCCAAACAAAAUUUAAAGAAAGAAGUGCCUGUAUCGAAUCAGGAACAUAAAGUUUUGUUUUAAUAUUUUAUUUAAUUAGAUGAUAUAAAAUAUGCAAAUGUAUAUAAGGAAACUUAUUAUACCAUGGCACCAACGAUCAGCAAAACCAAUGUUGCAUUGUUUACUACAAAAUGCACCAACAAGACAAUAAGUGAAUCAAUAAGAACCCUAAAACCUGAUUGAUGCUAAAAAAAAGAAAAAGAAAACAAAUAUGACAGACAGUAACUAAUUGGCCGUUUCAGAAUCUAAAGAAUCAUGGGUAAUUUCAUUGUUCGUACCCGAAAAUGAAAAUAACGCCACGUCAUUGGUUAAAUUUCCAUUAUUUGUGACAUUUUUAACCAAUCAGGACGUUUUGGUGUACACUUUUGAAAAUAUGUAUUACCCAGGAUGCAUUAGAUUCUGAAACGGUGAAUUCAUUGAACCUCGUGACUUAGGAUAAGAACAUAGUAUAGUACGGUAAAACAUGUUUGCGAGCACCUGAUCCCAAUACCCUUUAUCCACCCGAAACCCAUUCCUACUAUUUACAAUGUGGCGUAACGACAAAAAAAUCAGAAUAGUUUACUUUCCAGGGUUCUUUCAAAUAUAAACCUUUUAGUGUUUUGAACCCUAGUAGCAAACACUAUAAAGUUACAUCAUCACGUUUAAGUUAAAGAAAAAAAACCAAGUCUACAUUAUUAUGUGUGUUAUAAAUACUAGUGUCUCAGUUAACACAGUUAAUAACACCAUAUAGGAAAAACAUAGAACUCCUUUUGUC
rnacentral:lncRNA from 1 species